UUACAGAAAGGUAAAUAAAAGUGGCCAGACAGUGGAAUAGGCUGCCCAGGGAGGUGGUGGAGCCCCCGUUCCUGGAUGUGUUGAAGGGUGGUUUAGAUGAGAUGUCGGGGGAUAUGGUGUAGGGGAGAACUUUGUAGAGUAGGGCUGAUGGUUGGACUCGAUGAUCACAGUGAUCCAACCUGAA